rnacentral:rRNA from 1 species
GACGAACGCUGGCGGCGUGCCUAAUACAUGCAAGUUGAGCGAUGAAGAUUGGUGCUUGCCCCAAUUUGAAGAGCAGCGAACGGGUGAGUAACGCGUGGGGAAUCUGCCUUUGAGCGGGGGACAACAUUUGGAAACGAAUGCUAAUACCGCAUAACAACUUUAAACAUAAGUUUUAAGUUUGAAAGAUGCAAUUGCAUCACUCAAAGAUGAUCCCGCGUUGUAUUAGCUAGUUGGUGAGGUAAAGGCUCACCAAGGCGAUGAUACAUAGCCGACCUGAGAGGGUGAUCGGCCACAUUGGGACUGAGACACGGCCCAAACUCCUACGGGAGGCAGCAGGAGGGGAUCUUCGGCAAUGGACGGAAGUCUGACCGGGCAACGCCGCGUGAGGGAAGAAGGUUUUCGGAUCGGAAAACUCUGUUGGUAGAGAAGAACGUUGGUGAGAGUGGAAAGCUCAUCAAGUGACGGUAACUACCCAGAAAGGGACGGCUAACUACGUG